rnacentral:lncRNA from 1 species
UGUUCAUCGAGGAGAAUGAGAAUCUCAGAAUAAUAGCUAUAUAUAUAGACACGGUGGAAAUCUGAUUAACAAUAAAUGUUAAUCCCCAAGUGGAACAAACUUAUGCCUAGUUGUGUUUUGUGCUAUUCUAGUGCAGUCCAAUGUCAUGCAGCUGUACCAGCAAUGGAAGAAAUAUGGCGACAAUUAUGUGGGAUGUUCUUUGGAGUUAAACUUUCUAUUUGGCAGAGGUGGAGACAGAUCACAGAGACAGCACCCAUGGGCAUGCAACUUUCCCAUCUCCUGUCCUCCUGCAGCAUGAUGUUGUGCCCAAAAGCACUGGAAAAGGUCUCCACCAGCCACAACAAUGUAAGAUCUUGUUAAGGGAGGCAUACCUUGCUAGUGGGAACCGGGGAUCUGACCUGAACUCCAACUUAAUGCAAGAUUUUGUCCAGCAUAUCCCAUCGAGGCCCAGGAACACAUGCUUUGCAGCAGCAGAUGUUCCAGGAAAACAACAAUUUUGAUGAAACCCAGAGAAAGAGAGCCUACCACUUUCUUUAAUAAUAUAUAAUAAUAGCAAUUAAUCUCACUGUUUAAAGGUGUAUUUUUUAUUUAAAUAUUUUUAUAGGCUUUAUUUCCUCUUUUUUGUCCGUGUUAUUAUAUUUUCAUAUCUGACCACUUCUCAUACUCAUCAGUAGGCUGACACCAUCCUGUACCAGGUUAUCAUUCUUAAUGAUAAAAUAAAUGAUUUGCCAUAAGCA